GCAUUGGUUGUUCAGUGGUGGAAUUCCUGUCUUCCACAUGGGUGACCUGGGUUUGAUUCUUGGCCAGUGUA
rnacentral:tRNA from 1 species